AAUGAACGUUGGCGGCGUGGAUUAGGCAUGCAAGUCGAACGGAAACAGUAGCAAUAUUGUUUUAGUGGCGAACGGGUGAGUAACGCGUUGGUGACCUGCCCCGAAGAGGGGGAUAACAGUCCGAAAGGAUUGCUAAUACCCCAUGUGGUCGUUUGGAUUAGAUGCCUUAUGACUAAACGGAUUUAUUCGCUUCGGGAGGGGCCUGCGUCCCAUCAGCUUGUUGGUAAGGUAAUGGCUUACCAAGGCUAUGACGGGUAGGGGACCUGAGAGGGUGGCCCCCACAAUGGAACUGAAACAACGGUCCAUACACCUACGGGAGGCAG
rnacentral:rRNA from 1 species